ensembl:lncRNA novel transcript
AGCCUCAGCCUCCCGAGUGGCUGGGUGGGACUACAGGUGCACGACACUGAGUGUGGCUGAUAAAUUUUGUUUUGUUUUGUUUUUGGUUGAGGUGGGGGUCUCACUUUGUUGCAGUAGGCUGGUCUCGAACUCCUGAGCUUAGGUAAUCUGCCCACCUUGGCCUCCCAAAGUGCUGGGAUUACAGGUUUAAGUCACCGAUCCUGGCCCCUAUGAAUUUUACACCCGGACAGUUUUUUUGUAUUUUUAGUAGGGACAGGGUUUCAUCAUGUUGCUCAGGCUGGUCUCGAACUCCUGAGCUCAGGUGAUCUGCCCACCUUGGCCUCCCAAAGUGCUGGGAUUACAGGUGUGAGUCACUGCUCCUGGCCCCUAUGAAAUUUUUAAAAAGUAAUUUUUUUUUCUAAAUUUCAUGAUGCCUCUUUUGUUUAUAUUGCUAUAAUUAUAUUAAAGGACUUUGAUGGAGUUUGUCUUUACAAAGGUGGCAUAAAUUAAAGAGUAGUUGGAAUCUAAAUCUUUGGUCUGCCAGUUUGUAACCAAAUAAAAUUUCUUGGCUAUAAUUUUUUCAGCUGUACAACAGGAAAGGUAUAACAUAUCUUAC